AUUUUUGUAGGCAAUAAAACUGUGCCAUAGACAAAGCCUAUGGAAAAAAUGAAUGAUGUUUUUGUAGGAUUUUUGGAAAACGCCAAAAAAUAAGGGGUAGCAGAAUGACUMAUUUCCGGGUUUUAAGACUACAAGCUGGCGAGCUYUAUUGACACGCAGAUGCACGCAGUAGUGCCUUUACGCACAGACGUCACUCCAGGAGGGKGAAUUGUGGGAUGUAUUAAAAAACAAACAAUGUCCUUAUA